UUGCCUCUUCACUACACUAGCAUCAGUAGCACUUGAUGGGUGGUUGGAAUCCAUUUUGAAUGGUUAGAGUACAGUUUUAGAGCAAAAACACUGAAGCACACACAAAUGAAGUGAAGUCGUAAGAGAGACUGGCUUGGCGUCGCUUGGGGACGCUGUGACGUUUCGCGAGUGAGGGCAGCACGCCGAGCCGAGAGAGCGUAGCGCAGCCAGACAAGAGCAGGUGAUGUGCUGUAGAAAGUAGUCCGUGACGAUGCAAAAUGACGUAGUAUCGGAUCACCGGGACGUUAAACAAAUUUUUGGUGUCUAAAGUUCAGCGACUUAGUACCGAAGCAACGUUAAGCGGGUCGACGUUAAGCGAGGACUUACUGUAUUCAUUACGGAAACAAAAGUGGAAGGGAAGAAAACUGGUUGAGAUGGAAAGUAGAAUCUGAAAGUACAGCAUGAGAAUGGGUGGAAAACAUGUAAUGGAAAAUGUGGAAUUCAAGAAAGGAAAUAACAUCACCACAUGGUGCUCACUGAUCAUCACAAUUCAAAAUUUAAUGAUAGAUGAAUCAGUGAAUUUGAAUAUUACUUCAUCAUCACUUCGGAAAAAAAUACAAAAAUAGGGAAAAAAUCGUAGCCAGGUUUUUGUAGGUAAAUUGAAAUAUGGGACAAAAAACACUUUUGUAACUGAAUUUUCAUAUACCUAACCUUUGUAAUUGGGGAACUGCCUAUGUACACAUACGUGGAUUUAAGGUAAAGUGUUUGUUGCAAAAAACAAUUUAUGGUAAUGUGUAACAGGUACGAGACUUUUGACUGGCCAGUUACACAGUGAGUUGUACAAAAGAGUUACUGUAAAUUAUGUGGAGGUAGUCCUUAGAAUACCCGCAUGAAAGAAGGUGGUCCUAGGAAUACUGUACCCACAUGAAAGAAGGUGGUCCUAGGAAUACUGUACCCACAUGAAAGAAGGUGGUCCUAGGAAUACUGUACCCAUAUGAAAGAAGGUGGUCCUAGGAAUACUGUACCUACAUGAAAGAAGGUGGUCCUAGGAAUACUGUACCCACAUGAAAGAAGGUGGUCCUAGGAAUACUGUACCCACAUGAAAGGUGGUCCUAGGAAUACUGUACCUACAUGAAAGAAGGUGGUCCUAGGAAUACUGUACCUACAUGAAAGGUGGUCCUAGGAAUACUGUACCCACAUGAAAGGUGGUCCUAGGAAUACUGUACCCACAUGAAAGGUGGUCCUAGGAAUACUGUACCCACAUGAAAGAAGGUGGUCCUAGGAAUACUGUACCUACAUGAAAGGUGGUCCUAGGAAUACUGUACCCACAUGAAAGAAGGUGGUCCUAGGAAUACUGUACCCACAUGAAAGAAUGUGGUCCUAGGAAUACUGUACCCACAUGAAAGAAGGUGGUCCUAGGAAUACUGUACCCACAUGAAAGAAGGUGGUCCUAGGAAUACUGUACCCACAUGAAAGAAUGUGGUCCUUGGAAUACUGUACCCACAUGAAAGAAUGUGGUCCUAGGAAUACUGUACCCACAUGAAAGAAGGUGGUCCUUGGAAUACUGUACCCACAUGAAAGAAUGUGGUCCUAGGAAUACUGUACCCACAUGAAAGAAGGUGGUCCUAGGAAUACUGUACCCACAUGAAAGAAGGUGGUCCUAGGAAUACUGUACCUACAUGAAAGGUGGUCCUAGGAAUACUGUACCUACAUGAAAGGUGGUCCUAGGAAUACUGUACCCACAUGAAAGAAGGUGGUCCUAGGAAUACUGUACCUACAUGAAAGAAGGUGGUCCUAGGAAUACUGUACCUACAUGUACAUGAAAGAAGGUGGUCCUAGGAAUACUGUACCUACAUGAAAGGUGGUCCUAGGAAUACUGUACCCACAUGAGAGAGAAGGUGGUCCUAGGAAUACUGUACCCACAUG